AGAAAGCAAGAGAGGAGAUUGAGAGAGGGAGAGGCUGCGAAGGGAAAAGAAAAGAGGUUCUGAAGGAGGAGGAAAGGGGGGACUUGGGGAAAUCUGGGAGAAAGCUUGGGUGCCAAACAAGAGAGAACAGGUUUCGGUAGAGAGCAAAGAAAAAAGAAACCAGGGGAAAAGAUAGAACCAAACGGGGAGCAAAGGAGAACGGAAAGAGAGAGAGGGUUUGGGGAAGAUCAGGGAAGCAAGAAAACUAAGGAGCUUCGGGCCAAGAAAGGAAAAGAAACAAGCAAGGGCAGUGAGGAAAAGGAAGAAAGAGGGUUUCAAGGAAGAAAAAACGCAGGAGGGAAAAGGGAAGAGAGCUGGAGGGAGGAAAAAAAGCUGGUGAGAGCUUCGGGAAAGAUCUGGGGGAAGAUGGAGGGCUUGGAACAAACAAGAAAGAGAGAGAGGGGCAGCGGGCAAAGAAAAAGCAAGAAACAAAAGAAAGGCAAAGAAAAAGAAAGAGAAAAGAGGGUUUUCUGGGAUAGGAAAGGAAGAGAGGAUCGGGGGAGAGUUUAAGAUUGAGGAGAAAGUCGGCGGAGCAAGGAAAAUAGAGAAAAAGAGAAAUCGGGGAAGAAAAAGGAAGAAACAGAAAAAUUUUCUGGGAAAAAUCUGAGGGCCAGGUUGAGCCGUCAGCUUUGUUCAUCGUCAAAUUCCUAUCUUUUUUUGGAGCUCUUGGAGCGGAUUCUUGUUUCUGCACCUUUUGGGGAGGGAUCUGAAUAACUUUUAUUCAGAAACUAUUUGGAAAAAAUGACACCAAGUCUGUUGAAUCGGGCCUCCAAAUUCCAGCUCCACCAUCGCUGAAAUUUCGACGGCAAAGUUCUCUUAAGCUUAGUUUCCAGAAUCGGUGCAAUUUUUGGGAGUAUUUUCAAUUUCGUUUCACUUUACUAAGGUUCUAAGGUAACCACAGCUUCUCCUUUUGUUGUUUUAACACUAGUUUUCAUGAGAAUCCAAGUCCGUAAGACAUGAAUCUUGAGAUAUUUUUUGCUGCUGGUUCGGUGAACAUGCUCCCUGACUUUUAUCAUGUGCUGCUUUCUGAUGUUUCCCCGGUUGUGGGUUUUUUUUUUGUGUUUGUGCAAAUUUUGAUGUUGGGUUCAAAGUAAAAGGUAUAAGUUGCACGUUUUGCUAGUUUGGAAACUGAUUUGCAUGACUUAUCCGUUUGGUAAUGAAACCAGAAAAUUGCAGAAAUUUCUUGCCGAAAAUUUGCAUGCUUGGAUGAUUGAAUUUCCGUGAUUUCGUUGCUUAAGAUCAAAGUUUGAUGUUUGGUUCAGAUUUUAGUUUUGUUUAGCGAAGAGAAACUUGUACACUUGCACUGAAAACUCAGGAAUUUGGAAGAAAGCUUCGUGCGUUCUUAUGUUUUGCUGUUUUUCUUCCCGCGACAGCCCACCAAGUAGGUUUCAUCGCCUGAUGGGUUAUUUAAUCUUGUGCUUGAAAGAAGAAAUUGGGUGAUUGAUGUUGGGGUCGUGUGUUUUUGGUCCAAAGCUACAUAAAUCAGGCUCAAAUGUUUGCUGGGUAGAUAAGUUUCCAUAGAAAACCCAGAAACUGGUGGAAAGUUGUUUUGAAUAAACCUGGAUUUGCAAGCUUCUCCCCACGUUACUGAUUUGCCUCUCUCUUGUGUGCAUAACAUGGUAUCUUGAUGAUGAGCUUAUGAAACUUAAUGGGAACUUGGAGGUUGGAUCUUUGUUGUUGUUAAAUUUUUUUGUUGUUUGGCCGCAUAAGUUUGUUGAAAGGCUUCAGAAGUUGCAGGAAAGUUUCAGAAGAAGAAAUCUCCAUCGCAGCUUGCAUGCAAAUAAAACAAAAUUGCAUUUUAACCCCUCAAGUUUCCCUUUGUUUCAUUCUGGCCCAAAAAUAUGGAAAAAUCAAUCAUUUUACCAUUGUUGAAACUCAAUCAUUUUUCCAUGGUCCAACCAUGUUGUAGGCAAGUUUAUUUCCUGGUUUUAGGAGACAAUUAGAGUUUAAUUAGUUUUUAGAGCUUUUAUUUUGCUUUGAUUCGACCACUCAAACUUUUUUUAAUUAGUUCAAUUAGGGCCUUGAUUGUUUUAAAUUCUUGAAUAUAGGUUGUUUACUUUCAUUUAAAUGCCUUGAUUGAUUAUUUCAUCUCUUAUGAUUAUUUGUUAAUUAAAGUGAUGCCUUGACUUUUUUUUUUUUUUGUUUUGGAGGGUAAAUAAGAAAAAUUUCAUUUCAUUAGGUCACCAGUUCAAGAGAGGUAUACUCUACUCCUUUAUUUUGGUUUUACUUGUUCCUAUGUGCUCCUAUGUGACUUUAUUUGUGUAAUUGCAUGCUUUUUUGAAUGUUUUUUAUUCCAUCUAUUUAUUUAUUCAUUUCAUUUGUUUUAAUUUUGUAUGUUUAUUUUUAUUUAAUUUUUGUUAUUUGAGAGGCAUUUAAAUGCCAAAUUGUAAUAGUUAGGUUAUUAUUUCAUUUCAUUUCAUUCUUUCCCUUUUUAGAUUGUAGUUAGGGCCCUCCCAAAUGUAACAGUUAGAUCUUUAUUCGCUUUAUUUGCUUUGUGUGUUUUGCAUGCUUGUGUGUUUACGUGUUAUUUACUUUCUUAGGGGUUUGCAUCUAGAUAUCAUGCUUAUGUGCUAUGUGUUUUAUGUGAUAUUAUGUGUUUACUUACUUUCCUUAUAUUUUAUAUGAUUUAUUUGAUUAUAAUAAAUGUAUGACAUCACUACACUAGUCCAACGCUAGUUGUGACCCUUUUUUUCCAUUUUCUCGCUAGUCCAAUGCUAGUGGGAACUCAUAGACAUGGGAUAGUCCAACGUUAGACCCUUAGGGACCAUCCGCAUACUUGAUCACGUAUGUGUGACAAUCACUAUAUUUUCAUACAUAUUUUCUACUUUUUGGGGUUUCUUUUAUUAUUUUGCAUGACAUUUUCCUAUAUGUACAUCUCUUAUCCCAUAUUCCCCCUAUAUGUAUAUCCCUUAUCCCAUAUUCCCCCUAUAUGUGUAUCCCUUAUCCCAUAUUUUUCCUAUAUAUAUAUAUCCCUUGUCAUCAUGUGUGAAACAUGACAUGGAGACUUACAUUCCAUUUAAGAAAAUUAGAACUAGGUUAGAUCAUUUGCUUGAUUAGAUAGGAGAAGUACCAUUCGAAUAUAGGAUAUGGACGAGUAUGGCUUUCUAACUUUAACACGCUCGUAUUUCCUCUAUUAAAGGAAAAAUUAAAGUCACGAAUAUUAGUUCCCAGCACGCAUUAUGAUGCAUUCCUUUAGGUCAUGUAUAUUUGUAUAUUAUUAUUCUUUUUCUUUCUUUCGAGUCUCAUAUUUGCAAAUUUCGUGACCUCUUCAAGGAGUCACUUUUGGGCGUCGCAAUUAAUGCGAUUUGCACCAAUCAAGUUUUGAAGAGACAUAUUGACUCUUCCAUUAGGUCUAGGUUUGCAUUUAUAUAGUAACAUCCAAAUGUGAUAAGUUUUAGGUUAAAGUAAGAAAUUUUUGACUAAAUCACGCAACUAGUUUUAGCUAGAUUGAAAGGGUGCACUGGAUUUUAUCAUUGCCUUUCCUUUCUUCAACCGUGACUCCCGACCCCUUUUCUCUUGAUUUUCGCAAAUUUGGAGUCGUUUAAAAAGAGUUUUUCUACUUUUUUAUUUAAAAUUUAUUUUAGGUGACUUGGUACACCAUAACUCAAUACCAAGUGGCGAUUCCUAUUUUUCAUUAAAACCCUUUUUAAACUAUUAUUUUGGGCCAAAAUCGUAGCAUUUUUAAGUCCCAUUUAGGCCCUUUUUCUUUUUCUUUAUUUUCUAAAAAUCCAAAACUCAUUUUCCAAUCAAAAUCAAUCAAAAAUUCAUCUUUUACAAACUUGUAAAUUAUUUAUUAUUUAUUUUUUAAAAAUGGGGCGCAACAAUUUGGCGACUCCACUGGGGACGUAAAGGGUCUGAGCAUUUGAUUUAGUCAAUUUUUUUUCUUAUUCUAACCUUCUUAUAUAUCAAAUUUGGAGGUUUUUAGGUUGCAUUUUUUCCUUUUAGGGUUUUUCCAUCUACCAUGCGCGUAAUCGCUCCUCGCACACCGCAUAUGUGAUGAAUGGAUUGUUUAUUUGCUUUUACUUGUAUCGCGCUUGCAUCUUGGGGGGGUAGCCACCCUAGAACCUUCGCCCGCAUUUGAUGGCAUUAAAAUCCCUACUCUCAAAAGAAAGCACCUCAUACGUGCAUGCAUUACUUUUACCCUGUUUUUUCUUUUUCGUGGGCGCUUCUCACAUUUCGUUAUAGGAUUAGGAUCGAUUUCCUUAGGUAGACGGAUAGUGUGCUCUGCACCCAUAGUGAUGCCUAAGGGAUCACUUAAGCCACCGACCAAAGGCCCUGGGAUUGAUGACUUUUCACCUUUUGGUUUGAAGGUUUGGGAGUCUAAAAGCAUAUCGAGCUUAGAUGCAUUAGUAAGUCAAACUUCAUGCAUCCAUAUUAGAAAUAACCUAGGAUAGAGUCAACCUUACCCAACUACGAACACUAAGCAUGAGGGGGGGGGAUUCCAGCCCUCUUUCCUUAUUUUUCUUUUACUUUUUAUAUCAUUUAAUUGCUACAACAUGUUAUGUGUUGAACUAACAUUUCCUUAUUUUUUCGUCUUUUGCAUUUACAAACGCUAGAAAAUCAGAGAUUUGGCAUGAUCCUCUUUUAGAACCUACCCUCUUAGAUUGGUUAUUGCAUGUUUAAAUUCUGAUGUAUUGCAUUCAUAGGUUAAUAAUUGCACAUCAUUUUAGACUCAUCUUGGCAUACAAAGGGUCCCUUUUGGUCAUGUUUUCAUUUCAAAUUGCAUAUUUAAUUGCUCUAAUAAAUUGGCAUCAUGCAUAAAUCUUAGAGGGAAUGCCAUUUAGAGAAUCCCGUGUUAGAAAUAAACCACCUUGUGUCUCGGAUAUGUAAUUCAAUGAGAUUUGCACGUCUAUAUUUCUUGUACCAUCCAAAGGGGUAGUGCAACGAGGUAAGGUAGGAUCCGAUCUUUUCGAAAAUGAUAGAGCAACUUUUGCAUAUUAGAAUAUGAGCAUCUAACAAUCAUAUUUUCGCCAUUUUAUCAGAAUUGGUAAAAUCUUUUGCGUAAAGGACAUUAAGUUGAAAAAAUUCACAAAAAAUCCCUCAUUGUUGAGACGAUAAAUAUAUCGAGACCAAAUCUUGAUUUUAUAAUGCUCAUAGACUAAUGCAUCACAAUGAAUUUUUUGAAAUUAUCAAUGGAUAGACAAUUCAAUGAAUUUUUGAAUAAACCAUCAAUCCAUUUGAACAAUUUAUUCAUCAAUUUCAUCCAAUCAAUUUUAUCAAUUCAUUCAUUUUUAGGACAAUCCAGUCAAUUUUGAAUAAAUCAUCAAUUUCAUUCAAUUCAUUUGAUCAGUUUACCCAUUUUAGGGUGAUCCAGUCAAUUUUGAAUAAAUCAUCAAUUUCAUCUAGUUCAUUUGACCAAUUUACCCAUUUUUAAGAUGAUCCAGUCAAUUUUGAAUAAAUCAUCAAUUUCAUCCAAUUCAUUUGAUCAAUUUGCCCAUUUUUAGGGUGAUACAGUCAAUUUUAAAUAAAUCAUCAAUUUCAUUUAAUCCAUUUGACCAGUUUAUCCAUUUUUUGGGCAAUUCAGCAAAGUUCAUCAAUUUCAUCCGAUCUAUUUGACCCAUUUAAACUAGUCGAGACGUUGCAAUUCUUUCAAGAGUAGGCUCUUUCACACAUCACUUUAUGUGUUAAUCAAAAUAAUCAAUCCAUUCGGACUUUGUUCUCAUUUUGUUGGGACAAAUGUCUUUUCUCACUCCAAUUAGCCAAAUUCUUCAAAUUGCUUUUCACUUGAAUAUCAAUAAGUUGAUCGGAUUCAUCAGGUAUUGUAUGUGCCUACCCUAGAGGAUUGCAUUCUCAUGUUAGACCUACCCUUGGCACAAAAAGGGCUCCCCCAAUAGGACAUGCAUCCGAAUUACUUUAAUUUUUUACUAACUCCCGUCUUUUUCUUUUUCUUUCUUUCUUCGUUUUGUCAACAGCUGGUCAAGAGAGGAAUUUAAAUAGGGUUUUUCUUAAAUUUUCAGGUAACUGCAAAUAUAGCUACACAAAGAAACUCCAUCAUUACACGAUCACGUAGCCGAGUUUUAAAAAAUAGUGUAAACAUGAGUGCACAUCCGGAAUCAUCAGACAGGUCCACUACGACACCUACAGCCGACACUGCAAAUUUAGGAGUUCAAUUGAGCGAGAUGUUAAACAAAUUCAAUGAAUUGAGCGAGGAAAUAACAACUCAAAGGCGCAUAAUUGAUCAACUGAACUGGUUGCUAGCAGUGGCGGUAUCCAACAUGAUCUCAUGCCUAUCAGCCAACCUGAAAUAGAACACCAACCACCUCCUCUGUCCUAUACCCAAGUUACCUUUACACCGUUCUUUGCAAACAUACCCGAAGAGACUUUCACCUACCCCGUUUCCAAUUUUCAAUAUACUUACCCCCAUAACAUCCAAGUCAAUCCGGUCAGCAUUCAAAUGCCUCAGAAUUACCCAGAUUCUCAAGUACCUCAUCACACCACCACUGAGCCAUUCACGUUAGAUGUUUUUUUUUUUUUUUGUCAAAAGUCAUUCAUUUAUAUCAUCAGAUGAUUGACACCUACAAGUACAUGUACAUUUUAGCUGGCAACUGCCAGACGAUCACUUUGUGCAGCCAUAGAGGUCCACACGUUAGAUGUUGCUAUGCAAGGGAAGGUGGAAACGGGUGAAUCCUCCGCCCCGAUAGACAAAAAUCUGUUGAAAAGAUUGGAUAAAUUUGAUAAAUUUAGGAGAAAAAGCCAAGGAUUGAGCAAGCCUGGAGGUUUGGAUUAUGAUGAGUUGUGUCUUUUCCCAGACAUGCAAUUGCCUUUGGGUUUUAAAAUACCCAAAUUUAGUAAGUAUGAUGGAACUGGUAACCCCAAAAUACAUUUAAGACUAUUUGCAAAUAAGUUGGGAAAGCCAGUAGAUGAUGAAAGUUUGCCAAUACGUUUAUUCCUAGAGAGCUUGGAAAGCGAUACCCUGGAUUGGUAUUUCAAUUUAAAGCCUGAAAAAAUGAGAACAUGGUUGGAUUUGUCAACUGCUUUUGUGAGACAAUACGAGUACAAUUGUGAACUUGUUCCAACGAGCACCACGCUUGAAGGGACUAAAAGGAAGCCAUCCGAGAAUCACAAGACAUAUGCAAAGUGAUGGUGAAUAUUGGCAGCCAAGGUGGAACCUCCGAUGACAGAAGAGAAAAUUGUCCGUACAUUUAUUAAGGCACAUGAUCCACUAUAUUUUGAGGAGAUUUUUCGCAUGACCAGGCGUUUAUUUGCGGCAAUUAGCAAUAAGUUAGAGGAAUAUGAUGAAUAUGUCAGGGCAGGUAUGGCAUAAUAAAAUUGUCAAUAAGUGUAAUUUUUUGGAUCAUUGAGUACUACUAUCUUGGAUAGGUAUGGCAUAAUUUCCUUAUACAUGUGAAACCUACUCUCGUAGUGAAUCAACUAUACUUAUAACUAACUCAUACAUACUCUCGUGGUUAUGAAAUUAGUUGCAAGCUCAUUACUUAUAUGAAAUUACAUAAAAUGAAUCACUAAAGCUAUAAAGGUGUACCUCUACUCUCGUGAGUGUACUUCUUAGGUUUAAUACUUCUUGAACUAGUGUUAAAUCUCAAUUUUCAUUGCAAACUUAACACCUUAAGAUUAUCACAAUUAAUGGCCAGUUAAUCAUGACUAGAGGAGCAAAAGAGUUAAAUAACUUGCUCAAAAUAAUAACAUCAAAUAACCAAGAAAUCAACACAAUACAAUCAUAGAAAGUUCAACCAAAACCCAAGGCAUGCAUAAACUUUAGAAACACAUAUUGAAACACAAAUCCAAAACUUGCAUAUUAACCAUAUUUAAGAAUCCAAUACAAAAGAUAAAGAGUUGGAGAAGAGAUAACCCUUGUUACAUGAGUUUCAACCCCUACUUCUUCAUUUCCAUUUUCAUUUUGGUGUAGCCAGUAUACAAGAGUGGAUAACAAACAUUACUACCUAAACUAUUCUAUACUAUACUAACCUAAAACUAAGAAAGUGUAUAAGAGCUACAUUUUUGUGGUGUAUUCUUGCACUCUCCCCAAGCUCUCUAAAAUGGAGGACACAAGCUCUUAUUUAUAGAGAAAUCUUUCCUUUUUACGUCUUCCUUCAAGUGUGAACAUUGGUUUCAAAUGUUAACAAUUUUGGCUCAAGCUAAAGCUCAUCAUUAUAGAAGAAAUAAAGUCCAGAUUUGUUGUUAGAAUCUUCAUUUUACAACUGCAAAUCUUCCACAAAUUAUCCCUUAAAAGUUGUGAAAGAAUAGAGUUGGAAAUAAGUUGCGCAAGUGGAAGCGGUCAUUGUUGAUUGGAAUCCCUCUAAGCAAUCCCUCCAGAAUCUGGUCGGGUUCCUUGGAGGGAUUCCUCCCCUAUUUUUGUUAAAAUUUCGAUUCUUCAAUUUAACUCCAUGCCACUAAUUCUCCAAGCAAUCCCUUCAAAAACUGGUCGGGUUGUUAGGAGGGAUUCGAGUCGACUUUCAUUUUCAACAAAUUUCUUCAUUUUCUUUUUCUAAUGACUCGAACCACAUUUGAAACUCGUCAUCCCUGUGAACUUUAGGACUUCAAUCAUCAUAAUGUAAGUUUAUUUCUUGUCUAAAAUUAAGUCCAUUUCCAGCUCCUACAAAAAAAAUAUCAAAAAUAUGCAAGUAAAAGGGACAAAUAUUUCAUUUAAGCACUAAGCAGCAUUUAGAACUAAUUCUAGCCAAAAUGGACCAUUUUCUUCUUAUAAUAUUGCAAAAGUGACUAAAAGUAAUAUAAAAUGUCAUCCAAAUAUAGCAUAAAAUAGUCACUUAUCAGUAUGCUUUUAGGGUUUGUAUUGAAUUGAGAGGGAAUAUACAACUGUGCACUAGAUAGAUAAACAUAUUUAUUCUAAUCACGAGAGUUGGUUAGAUUUUGUAUGAUGUAAUUAAAAUCAUCUAAGAUUUUAAAAGGUUUAAUUAAAUGCUUACGAUUUCAAGAAAGAUAUGAGAUUUAAUUAGAAAAAAUUUAGUUGUAUUGAGGGAUAAUAUAAAGCACCUUUGUGUGAUAUGGUAUUGACUUGUUAAGAAAUUAACUGGAUAAUUAAUUCAAACUGUGGAUCAAAAUUUGAAACCCUAGUCUAUUGCCAAUCGUUUUCUCAACUUUAUUUUAUUUUAUUUGAUUAUUUACUUUAUUUCUUAAUUAGAGAUCAAAACCCCUUUAACUUUGAAUUUUAUUGUAAACUAUAAUAAAUAAAGUAGGAUAAAUUAAUGGGUAAAUUACAUUUUACCCCCCUGUGGUUUACCCUUUUUUUACAUAACCCUCUUAUGGUUUCAAAAGCUAUACAUAACCCCCUCAUGGUUUGGAUUAAAGUGUCAAGGUAACGGAAAUAGCCACUCGUAACGGAACUUCUAAAAAUGUCAAAAUUACCCUUAUAAAUACAUGACACAUCAACCCCGUAUGAUUUUUAUAUUUUACCAUAUAACCCCCCUAUGGUUUAAUACUUUAUCAUAUAACCCCCUUAUGAUUUUCAAAAUAUACACAUAACCCCCCUUGGUUAAUACAUAAAUUUCAACUUUACAUAAGGGUAUUUUUGACAUUUUAGGUGAUGCCGUUACGAGUGACUAUUUCCGUUACUUUGACACUUUAAUCCAAAGCAUAAGGGGGUUAUAUAUAGCUUUUGAAACCAUAGGGGGGUUAUGUGAAAAAACGCUAAACCACAGGGGGGUAAAGUGGAAUUUGCCCUAAAUUAAUUCCACCCUGUGGAUUCGACCUCUGGAAUACUCCAAGUGAUUUUAUCACUAUGAUCAACAUUGUGCGCUUGCAAAAAUGGCUGAUGUAACUACAUCAGCCUAACAAUUGUAGAAAAUUUUGUAGAAAAUUUUGUGGUAGAUGUAAAUACAUAUAUGUGGUUUUUUUUGGGGGGUAAGCCUUUUUUUUUUGAAAACUUUUUUGGGUAAGCCUAACAUUGAGCUUUGUUUGCCAUGCAUAAUCUUCAUAUAUGACAAUUAAUUUAUGUUGACCAAAAUGCUGGGUGAAAUUGAAACUUUCUUCAAAGGAUGAGGCAAGAAUAGCAAAAGUUGAGUUUCCAAACCACCUCGUCAAAUUUCAUAACUAUCUAUCAAUAUAUUGUCUAAAUAAAAGUGUGACGAGUCGCAGAAAUGUUAGCACAUUUUGAUAUUUCAUUUCAAAUUUACCCGUUGAUGAUGAUUCGAUAGUUUGUGUGACAUCAGUUUUUGAUCAAUUGCCGAUUGUCUAAAUGGAUGAACGUUACAUUUCAUAGUUUACUCUUUAUUUGUUUUCUAAAAAAUUAUGUUCAUAUAUUGCAGUUUUAACAUUUGAUAUAUCGUUAAAUCAUUGUUCCGAGAAUUGUACCUAUCAUCUUCCGCAUUAUUUUAUCCUUGUCAAGUGUGAUUUAGUAGAAAAAUCAUUAUUUUAUCCGCAUUAUAUUUCCAGAAUGUGCUUGCGAUUUGCACUUUUUCUCCCUUCAUCCUUCCUUGUCCUAAUCUAUAGACUGUGACGGGGUUGUUCGUUUUCCUAAAUCAUUUAAGAGUACUGAAUUUAACCGUCUAUGGAGAAAAAAAAAAUCGAGCAUGCAUUAAAAGUAAAACUAAAAAUAGACCACUGAUAUGGAUCUCAAGUUUUCUCAUCAUUAAUAUACAUAUCACUUCUACAUGGAUCUCCAUGGAAAAAAUUCCACAGAUUCAUUAAUUUUUCUAUAAAUUUAGAAAUUUACACUUAUCAAACGUUAAUUAAGGUUGCGUAGGAAGUAAUUAAGGAAAGAUUGCAAAGAAUAAUUAAGCAUUAUAAAUUUUAUUAAAAUAAUAAUUAUUUAACAUGAUAAUUGUCACAUCUUUACUCCAUAAAAAUGAGAAAAGAAAACUGUAAACCACAUCAUCAAUCUACAUAGGAGGAGAUACAAUGGUGUUGAGAAAACUGAUAUAUACUGUUUUUCCUAAAGAUAAGUACAAGGGCAACACUAAGAAUUGUACCAAAUGUUGCAUAUUGUCCAAAAUGAAGAUGAAAAAUUAUUGGUCAGCACUAUCAGAGUUUGGGCUUAUGUUUUUAGAAAAAAUCUUGAAUAAGACAAUAAUUCUCCUACAACUUGUUAUAAUUAGAUAAAUGUGCAUACUGCUUGGAUUUACUCCAUAGAAAGAAUUUUUUUUUUUUUAAAAAGGGAACUGGAGAACAUUAUACCAUUAAUUCAAAGCAUAGCUUGGGACCUUAAUCAAUUAAUUUAUUGAAGACAAGAUAAAGAAAUAGGUAAUUCAAAAAUUAAUCUGGUCGGAUAUGAUGCAAUACAUAUGAACACUGUUAUAACUUAUGUCGUGCAUGUCAAAAAUCAACAACUCAUGAAAACAUUUAUGCUGAGACAAUAAUAGAAAUAUGGACUUAGAUUCUUAAAGCACCAAAUUCUUUUUUAUUUAUUUAUAACUAUAUACUUGAAUUAACAGCUGUUUUUGGAAUCCAGGACUGCACAAAUUGAACAAAGAUUUCUUUCACAACAUUAACAAUUGCUACCUAAAUUGUGUCAUAUAUUCUGUAAUUUCACUCCAUUGAAUCCACUUUUCACUGCAUUAUAUAAACAUACUUUAGUAUCUAAAGGGGAUAACAAACUGGUGGAACUUGACCAGUACAUUUUUAGAAUGAGGGGAAAAACAUAAUUUGUAUACAUAAAGUUAAUUUAUAUGAUGCUCAGCUGAAAAACUCGUGAAAAACUGGAAGAUUGAGCUGGAAAUGUUGAGAGACAGCCGCUGGAAUUUUCCAGCUUCACCCGAGAGAAGAAAUAAAGAAUUUUCCAGCUUUCUUUAUGGAUUCUGGUUCCAAACUUCUACAUUAAGGCAUAAUUUGUUACAGAAUACUUUAGUCUUAACAUGCAGGUCAGAUUUGAGUGUGUAAUGAAGAGAUUAAUGGAGAAAUUUCUUGUUUAAAAGCUGACUGCUGCUGAAAUUUUUCAGCAUGGUCGAGAGAAGGAAAUAGAAUUUUAUCCAGCUUUCCCUUUGAAUCUUUGGCUGUAAAUUUCAUAUUGUUGCAUAAGAUACACCGUAGCAUGAUAACUACACUCUGCAUGUUGAGUUGGAGUGAAAAAAAAAAUGAAGAAAUUGUGGAGAAAGUUUUGUGUUUAAAGUGCCAAAUUGCUGGAAGAGUAUAUCCUAGCUGAUGACAGAUUUGUGGUGGCUUCUUGAUGGAAUAAUUUGCUGGAAUUACCUGUUAUUUGUUUCAUUUCAUGUUGGACAGAAUGUGUGUUGUGUGUUUGGUGUUUUAGGCAAGUAAAAGAUGGAAACUUUGCUGAAAAUUUUGAAAUAAUAUUGCUGGAAAAUUCUGUUUUGCUGGCCGAGAGAGAGAGGGGUUGGAACUCUCAUAUUAUUUUCGAAAAUUUCAUGAUAAUUGGCUACAAUCUUGAGUAAAACAUUUUAUAAUAUCUUGUCCCUGUUUCCAUGUACAUAUUAUUGAUUUCUAACACUUGAAAGCUGGUGAAUUUGAGCAAGUUUAAACCACAAGCAAACUAGAAUCUGGUUUAGCCAAAAAGGAAGAAAUGAAAAGUUCACUAGCCUUAAUCUUUGAAUUUUGGGUUGAAAGUAGUUUAACCUUAGUUUAAACACCUUACAAGACCUUGAAUUUGGUAUACAUGAAUAUUUCCCUUGUUUGAGUUGAUAAAUUUGAUGAAUCUUGAAGAGAAAUGUGAGGAAGGUUGCUGGAAUUGUUGCAUCUUGUGUGAUGAGCUAAGGGACUUGAGUUCUAGUAAUUUAAACCUUAAAUUGGUGAGUGAUUAGCAGUCGGACAUAAAGAUAAAUGGAUGAGAAAAGUAGUUAUAUCAACUAUAGGGAUCGAAAAGGCUAUAAAACUUUUAUGAAAAGAUAUACAAAUAAAACAUGAUUUAAACCGCUUUAUAAGCAUUAUAUGUUCACCGUUAAGGUAAUAAACUAGUUUUGCUCAAGAUUUUAAGUAAUAAAUGAGACUUAUGGGACAAUAAAAUACCUUAAAAGUAAUUACUUCUAAAAUUUACCUUAUUAAAAAUGGAUGUUGAGUUUUAGUAUAUUAAAUCUAAAGGUAUAGAAGAGUGGUUAAAUAAUUAUAGUAUUUAUAAACUUGUCUCAGGGGACAGCGGUGAGCCAAGAAGCAACUCCGACAUUCAAGCAUAACUUGUAUUGAUUAGGGUGAGUGAACUAAAUUGUUUGUACUUGUUUAUUUGAAGGAUUACUUGUGCAUUGGUAAAUGAAGUGAUAUGAAUGAAUGAAAUGAAAUUUUACUUGGUUUUGAAUUACUGAUAAAAGGCUAGAGCGUACUUUACCGCUACUGCCCUAAUGAACUGAAAUGUAUAUCGAAGUGAUUAUUGACUGGAUUGUGCAUGAAUAAUUGUAGGCCGUUGUGUACUUUACCACAUCGGCCGAAUUGGGUCCUAAGCCUUGGUUAGUUGAUCUAGUCGGGCCGGUAAAGGACUUGGUCGACCAGGUUAGCAACCUUGAGCAAUUGAAUGGUAUACUCGAGUAUUACCCUGCAGUUUGGAGAUUAUUGAACUGAUUAAUGAAUGUAAGGAUUGUUUAUUGUUUUGUAGAAUAUAAGGGGGUGAUUGUGGUGGAGUGUGCAGUAAUAUGUACCAAAUUUAAAUAUUAUCUCUUCAUUUUGUAUUUAUUAAUAAAGAGAUAAUAUCAAUGAAUAGUUUCUUCACUGGCUAGAUUUAUAGGGGCAUAUAACAUAGCACCAUUUAAUUGGACAAACUAUUGUAGUAUAUAAAACAUAUAUAUGGAUUAAAUAACUCUAAAUAUUAUUUCUUUAAUAAAGAAAUAAUAUAUUUAUCCAUAAUUUUACCAAAUCAUAGAAACAUGUGGCAUGGCAUAAUUUGAUUAGCAAAGAUAUUCCGACAAUUUUAAUUGGUCGCAACACCUUAUUUUGACAUGUGGAGAGACAUGAUUGGCUACCAAAUAGCCAAGCUUCCAAAUGUGCAUGACGUAUUGUGAGAACUUAAAAAUUUUCACAUUUUCUUAGCAUUAUUUUAUUUCUUUGCUUCCAUUUUAUAUUUUCCUUUAAUAUGUUAAUUUCCUAUAUAUUUUUAUAAGUGAAAAUAGUUUUUAAAUUAUUUUCUUAGUAUAAGUUAGUGUACGUUAAAUUUGAAAUGUAUUAUAGAUGUGGGACCUGCUAGUGCGAUAAAAUUUUGGUGAUUAAGUGAUUUUUGUGCUAAGUAUUAUUAUUUUACAAGGUACUAGGUGAUAAUUAGGGAUUAGUUAGGAAGAUUAGUAUUGGAAGACAAUAAGAUAAGGAUUAAUCUUGGCUAACCACUUGUCUUAAAUUUAUUGGACCUUUGACUUGGACCAAGGACUUUCUUACCUCUUGAAUAAAAUCAAAAUUUGACCAACAUUUUCUUCAUUUAGAGCUUCCCUUGGCUGACCCUCUUGAGGAGAAAAACAAGGAGAGAAACUUCAAUUUCUACUUCACUUUCUAACUUGAAUCUUGAGUUGUAGCCAACCAAAAUUGAAACUACACCAUACAAGCGCUUAUUAAGGAAGGUUGAAGGAGUUGGUGGGGUGAUUGUGGGAGGAAAGAUACUAAGCUACCAUUUUUCUUGAGUUUUCUAGGUAUUUUGCCAAGACCCUCUUCUUUACUUCAAUUAAUUGCUAAUUAGUGGUUUAAAGUUGUAGUUUUGGUAGUUAUGAGCACAUUUCAUAGUUGGAAGUAGUAUUAUGGAAAUUCCAGGUUAGGAUUUUGAAUGACCCUGUUCUGUCUGGUUUUAUUUGUGCAUUUUAGAGGCCGAAUCAGACUUAGGUUAAAACAUGAAAGUUGUAGAGAAUGAAUUUUAUAUUUACUUACAAAAUUUCAGCCCAAUCGGAGCAAUGUAGCCUAUGAAAAGACUGAAAUACCCCUGCUGCCCUGUUUCUAUCCGAAAUUGAUAAUCAACUUUCGUAAUUGGUUAGUUUGACUGGGAAUACUACUGAUUUGAUUGUCGAUGUCUUCUUAACAUUUAUAGUCUGGUAUCUUAGCUUUCAGAUGGAUUUGGAAUCACUUGAAUUGGAGUCUUAUGUGCUGAGAUAUGAUUGAAUGAAUCAGGACUGCUAGUUGAAUUUCACAGUGAAUUUCGUACUGGAAAAUCUGGGGUUGUUUUCGUAAAUUUGACCGAGUUAAGGUGAGAACUGGACUGAGUGGUUUUCAUGAAAGUUGUAGGUUUUUGUCUCAGAUUCGAAAUGGUAUAAAUUUCACCCCAAUCCGAUAAGCGUAGUUUCAGUUAUGUCCGAUACGCUAUGUAGCGGUGAAUCUGCCUUUUUGGUUUCUUGGCUUAAAGCUCAUUUCCGGUUAUUUUCCUAGCUAAAUCUUGUACUUGAAUGAAUUUGAGCCUAUUGAACGGCUGUUGUGAUGACUUUGGGAUUGAUUGAGGAAAAUAAUGAAGCCAUAAGUGGUUGGAAAAUAGGUAAAUACAAAGGGCGUGCUGCCCAAAUUUACACUCGAAAAUUAGGUAACGAUUUGAGAGCGAGCAUAAGUUUUCCAAAUAUUUUACUCAUGUCCUUUGGUUUACAUGUACUCUUUUCACUUCCAAAACUAUAUUUAUACUUUGUACAAGUAAAUAUUCGAAUUUUUUUCGGUUUACCUAAACUUUGAGGGUUUAAUUGUAAUAUUUUCUCUUUGUUAUUAUUAGGGUUUGUUUAGGUUCCUUUUCAUUUGAUUAUACCCAAGACACUUGUUAUACGUUAUUUCUUUGCAUAUGAGUUAGUUUCGGACCAAACGAAGAGCUUUACGAAUUUGAGCAACUGUCUUUUCAUAUCCGGCCGUAUUUUGACGUGGCACUAUUAAUUUAUUUUUAAUGGAAUUUUCUAAAACCCUUUUGGGUAUGAUUUUGUGUUUGAUUUGGAAAAACUCCUAGUUACUAAUGUCCUCUAAUCUAAAUAUAUAUUUUUCACCGUAAACCUCAUAUUUAUGUAUCGCACUAGUACGUAUUUGGAUUUUUUUGAAUCACUUAGGUUUUGCUGGUUGAAGCAUAAUGUGAUCUUUUGAUUACUAUUAGGGUUUAUUGGUGAUUGAGGGUGUUAUCCAGAGGGAUAUUUUGGACGUUAUUUUACGUAAAGAGGUGAGUGUUCCUUGUUUGUUAUAAUUUCCUUGAUUUCAUGGCUUGUUGUUGCUGUUUGAUAAUGUGUUAAGUGCUUUCAAUGAUUUCCAAAAUGAGUUUCUAGGCGUGUGUGUACUAUAUCGCACUCGACUUAAAUAAAUGUGAAAUUUUCAAUGAUUAAAUAAUUAAAUGCUAGUUGCGCAUGAAUGUAAGCCGUUUGGCUGAAUUGGGGCCUUGCCCUCUAUUACCUAUCGACUCGAGCCAGAAGCGGACUCGGUUGGGCGAUUUGGUGACGUUGGACGAAAGUUUGGUAUACUCGAGUAUUACCUUGUUGUCAGGUGGAGCCUGACCAACGUCCAGGAGGGGGUGAAUGAAAUGAACGAACGAAUGUCAAUGAAAAUGAGGGGUUUUACUUACAAAAUGCAUUUUCAAAUGAUGGGAGAAAUAAGGGGAAUGACAGGAGAACGAAUGAACGAACGAAUAAAUGACUCCCUGUGAGCCCGUAUCCUUUUAAUGAAUGUGUUAUUAUCGCUUUCCAUUGUAAAUGUUUCUUGAAUUAUUGAUACCCUAUGUUUAAUGUAUUGAAUUGAUUGUUUGAUUAUGUGUUUGGAACCUCACUGAGCUUUUAGCUCAUCUCUUUAGUUUUGUUUUCCUUAACAGGGAAGGCGAGCCAGGACGGGAGUUUUGGAUAGACUAGCCUAGACUAGUUUCUUGGUUUUCUUUUGUAAUGGUUCUCGCCCUAGUGCUUGGCACGGGUUGGAUGUAUGAAGAAUUAAGAACCUUUAUAUAUUUGAUUAUUAUAUUUCCUUUUGAGCUAGCAAUGUAUAUAAGUUUUGCUUUAAGUUUUGGAUCGUUGUUAUGUUUAUUCUUGGUUUAUUCUGGUUUCGGUUGAGGAUUGAAGUGAACGACUGAGUUCCAGCGAGAGCUGGGCAGGCGGUCCGCUGACCCCUUCGGUUCGCCUUAGGGGAGAUGGGGCCGUCACAGUUGGUAUCAGAGCCUGGUUCGCGUGGUCUCUAUGCGGAGUGAGCUUGGGCCAAGUGGUGAAUAAGUAUGAAGGACUAAGUGAUCGUUCAAGCAUAAUGUCUUUUCUUUUAAUUCGCUCUUACAUUGCUACUGCCAUGACGUUUGUUUGAGUAAUUGUGUAUAUGCUGAUCUGUCGUAUUUGAUAUGUAUUUGUGUACUUGACCAUCUGUUUUCUUGAUAUAUGGUGUGUUAUAUAUGUAUAUGUCUAUUUGCGUAUUCGGUAUUGGGUGUAUUAGAAUUUAGUUACUUUAGUCAACUUACUGCGUUUAUUCAUUGAAUUACCUUUUGGGAAAAGAAAGAAAAUAGAGGGGAAAAAUAAUAUGGAAGGGAGACGUGGACGUGAUCGUGGUCGUGGCUGUGGAACUAAGCGAGUUCAGGAAACAAGAGAAGAAAGGGAAACAGCAGCUGAACAAGAGCAGGGACUAAGGGUUGAAGCCGGGGACCAAAUGGCAACGGCAAUUCAACAAAUGUCAAAUAUUUUUAGCAAGAUUGGUGGACCAACAAGGCCAAAUACUUGUGAAUCAACCCCAGAACCCUGAGAUAGGAGAAGAUCGGGCUCUUGAGAGGUUUCAAAAGUUUCUACCUCCGAAAUUCUAUGGAGGGUCUGAUCCAGAAGUAGCUGAAUAGUGGCUGGAGGCCAUGAUCAACAUCUUUGCAGCUUUAAAUUACACUGAGUAAAGACAAGUAAACUUUGUUGUGUUUCAAUUUGAAGGAUCGGCCCGAGCAUGGUGGAAUGUGAUUAAGGCAAAAUGGGAAAGAGAACAGACUGCAUGGACAUGAACGAAUUUUGUAAGGAAAUUUAAUGGGAAGUGUCUCCCACCUUUAGUCCAAGAAAGGAGAGAGGACGAGUUAUUGGACUCAGCCAGGAAACUUUAAGUGUGGCUGAAUAUAAAACGAAAUUUACCAAACUAUCCAAGUUUGCAUCUGAAUUAGUGGCUACGGAACAGAGAAGAGUGAGACGGUUUAUACAAGGAUUGAAUUUGGAAAUUCAAGAAGCAUUAGCGGCGGUGCAAGUGAAUACUUUUACGGAGACUCUUGAGAAAGGCAAACGAAUUGAGAAUGCAAAGGCACAGAUAAAAUCCUCCCAAACUCGGAAAAGAGGUGCAGCUGGUAGUGUGGUAGAGGAACCUAGUGAAUUGAUAGCACCUUCUAAAGUGCAGAAAGUGAACUCGUUACCCCGCCCACCAUGGACAUUAGGGGCGGUAGAUGAAGGGUCUACAAAAGGAAGCCAAAUCGGACCUAGGAAAAAUUUUCAGGAAAGCCAAAAGAUGGCUUCACACUUGGUCUGUGGAUACUGUGGAAGGGCAAAUCAUGCCGAAAGCGAUUGUUGGAGAAAAGGGCGGAAAUGUUUAAUCUGCGGAAGUGGCAAUCAUCAAGUUAGCAACUGUCCGAGGAGACAGUCACGUGAAAGCAAUACUCGCGCAACUGGAUAGAGCUAAAUCACAAGCGAAUGAAAGAGGGAAACAAACUAGUGUACCGGCAAAGGUUUAUGCCUUAGACAACCAACAAGUUUCGGACUCGUCUGAGGCAACUGAAGGUAAAAAUUUCGAUGACGAAAUUUCUUAAGGGGGAGAGAGUGUGAGAACCCAAAAUUUUUCAAAUUUUCUUAGCAUUAUUUUAUUUCUUUGCUUCCAUUUUAUAUUUUCCUUUAAUAUGUUAAUUUCCUAUAUAUUUUUAUAAGUGAAAAUAGUUUUUAAAUCAUUUUCCUAGUAUAAGUUAGUAUACGUUAAAUUUGAAAUGCAUUAUAGAUGUGGGACCCGCUAGUGCGAUAAAAUUUUGGUGAUUAAGUGAUUUUUGUGCUAAGUAUUAUUAUUUUACAAGGUGCUAGGUGAUAAUUAGGGAUUAGUUAGGAAGAUUAGUGUUGGAAGACAAUAAGAUAAGGAUUAAUCUUGGCUAACCACUUGUCUUAAAUUUAUUGGACCUUUGACUUGGACCAAGGACUUUCUUACCUCUUGAAUAAAAUCAAAAUUUGACCAACAUUUUCUUCAUUUUGAGCUUCCCUUGGCCGACCCUCUUGAGGAGAAAAACAAGGAGAGAAACUUCAAUUUCUACUUCACUUUCUAGCUUGAAUCUUGAGUUUUAGCCAACCAAAAUUGAAACUACACCAUACAAGUGCUUAUUAAGGAAGGUUGAAGGAGUUGGUGGAGUGAUUGUGAGAGAAAAGAUACUAAGCUACCAUUUUUCUUGAGUUUUCAAGGUAUUUUUUCAAGACCUUCUUCUUUACUUCAAUUAAUUGCUAAUUAGUGGUUUAAAGUUGUAGUUUUGGUAGUUAUGAGCAUAUUUCAUAGUUGGAAGUAGUAUUAUGGAAAUUCCAGGUUAGGGUUUUGAAUGCCCCUGUUCUGUCCAAUUUUAUUUGAGCAUGUUAGAGGCCGAAUCAGACUUAGGUUAAAACAUAAAAGUUGUAGAGAAUGAUAUUUUAUAUUUGCCUACAAAAUUUCAGCCCAAUCAGAGUAAUGUAGUCUAUGAAAAGAUUGAAAUACCCCUGCUGCCCCGUUUCUGUCCGAAAUUGAUAAUCGGCUUUGGUAAUUGGUUAGUUUGACUGGGAAUACUACUGAUUUGGUUGUUGAUGUCUUCUUAACAGUUAUAGCCUGGUAUCUUAGCUUUCAGAUGGCUUAGAAAUCACUUGAAUUGGAGUCGUAUGUGCUGAGAUAUGAUUGGAUCAAUCAGGACUGCUAGUUGAAUUUCACAGUGAAUUUCGAACAGGAAACUCUGGGGUUGUUUUGGUAAAUGUGACCUAGUUAGGGUGAGAACUGGACUGAGUGGUCUUCAUGAAAGUUGUAGGUAUUUGUCUUCGCUUCGAAAUAGUAUGAAUUGCACCCCAAUCCGAUAAGUGUAGUUUCAGUUAUGUCCGAUACGCUAUGUAGCGGUGAAUCUGCCUUUUUGGUUUCUUGGCUUAAAUCUCAUUUCUGGUUAUUUUCCUAGCUAAAUCUUGUACUUGAAUGAAUUUGAGUCUAUUGAACGGCUGUUGUAAUGAAUUUAUAUUGUGUAUGACUUUGGGAUUGAUUGAGGAAAAUAAUGAAGCCAUAAGUGGCUGGAAAAUGGGUAAAUACAAAGGGCGUGCUGCCCAAAUUUACACUCGAAAAUUAGGUAACGAUUUGAGAGCGAGCAUAAGUUUUCCAAAUAUUUUACUCAUGUCCUUUGGUUUACAUGUACUCUUUUCACUUUCAAAACUAUAUUUAUAUUUUGUACAAGUAAAUAUUCGGAUUUUCUUUGGUUUACCUAAAUUUUGAGGGUUUAAUUGUAAUAUUUUCUCUUGGUUAUUAUUAGGGUUUGUUUAGGUUCCUUUUCAUUUGAUUUUACCCAAAACACUUGUUAUACGUUAUUUCUUUGCAUAUGAGUUAGUUUCGGACCAAACGAAGAGCUUUACGAAUUUGAGCAACUGUCUUUUCAUAUCCGGCCGUAUUUUGACGUGACACUAUUAAUUUAUUUUCAAUGGAAUUUUCUAAAACCCUUUUGGGUAUGGUUUUGUGUUUGAUUUGGAAAAACUCCUAGUUACUAAUGUCCUCUAAUCUAAAUAUAUACUUUUCACCGCAAACCUCAUAUUUAUGUAUCGCACUAGUACGUAUUUGGAUUUUCUUUGAAUCACUUAGGUUUUGCUGGUUGAAGCGUAAUGUGUUCUUUUGAUUACUAUUAGGGUUCAUUGGUGAUUGAGGGUGUUAUCCGGAGGGAUAUUUUGGACGUUAUUUUACGUAAAGAGGUGAGUGUUCCUUGUUUGUUAUAAUGUCCUUGAUUUCAUGGCUUGUUGUUGCUGUUUGAUAAUGUGUUAAGUGCUUUCAAUGAUUUCCAAAAUAAGUUUCUAGGCGAGUGUGUACUUUAUCGCACUCGACCUAAAUAAAUGUGAAAUUUUCAAUGAUUAAAUGACUAAAUACUAGUUGCGCAUGAAUGUAAGCCGUUUGGCUGAAUUGGGCCCUUGCCCUCUGUUACUUGUCGACUCGAGCCAGAAGGGGACUUGAUCAGGCGAUUUGGUGACCUUGGGCGAAAGUUUGAUAUACUCGAGUAUUACCUUGUUGUCGGGUGGAGCCUGGCCAACGUCCAGGAGGGGGUGAAUGAAAUGAACGAAUGAAUAUCAAUGAAAAUGAGGGAUUUUACUUACAAAAUGCAUUUUCAAAUGAUUAGAGGAAUAAGGGGAAUGACAGGAGAACGAAUGAACAAACGAAUAAAUAGCUCCCUGUGAGCCCGUAUCCUUUUAAUGAAUGUGUUAUUUUCGCUUUCCAUUGUAAAUGUUUCUUGAAUUAUUGAUACUCUAUGUUUAAUAUAUUGAAUUGAUUGUUUGAUUAUGUGUUCCGAACCUCACUGAGCUUUUAGUUCAUCCCUUUAGUUUUUUUUCCUAAACAGGGAAGGCGAGCCAGGACGGGAGUUUUGGAUAGACUAGCCUAGACUAGUUUCUUGGUUUUCUUUUGUAAUGGUUCUCGCCCUAGUGCUUGGCACGGGUUGGAUGUAUGAAGAAUUGAGAACCUUUGUAUAUUCGAUGAUUGUACUUCCUUUUGAGAUAGCAAUGUAUAUAAGUUUUGCUUUAAGUUUUGGAUCGUUGUUGUGUUUAUUCUUGGUUUAUUCUGGUUUCGAUUGAGGGUUGAAAUGAACGACUGAGUCCCGGCGAGAGUUGGGCAGACGGUCCGCUGACCCCUUUGGUUAUCCUUAGGGGGAGGUGGGGCCGUCACACAUAUGGCAAUAUUCAAUUUGAUAAAAAUAAUGUAUAGACCAAUGGUAAUUUUUAGAAUUAAUUAAAAUUUCAUUGUCUUCAAUUAUAAUUUACAUUUGAAGAAUAAGUAUGGAAUUACUAUUAUGCAUGCUUAUUUUCUUUUGUAAAUUUAUUGCUUUUUUAAAAAAUUUUUACGUCUUGUUUUUCCUCAUUUUUUUCUCUUUCCAUUGUAGACUUUCAUAUAACAAGAGGUCUUGUGAUCCAGUCGACUAUGAAACCAUUGAUAAAGUUAAACUUUUAUAGUUGAUGAAGAACAAGAAGGAGAGUCUAAUUAUGAUGAGUUAGAAUAAAUGAUUGUGAGGAAGGACCCUCUCAAUCACGUAAGUUUAUAUUUGUUCAUUUAACUUUAUUUAAGUUUCUUCUUAGCUGUAGUCUAUCUUAUAAUCUUUUUAUUUAUGAGUAUUUAAAUAAUUUUUAGAUAAGGAAAAUACAAAUGUUGUGUAACUUGAUGAUGGGGAUGUUGUUGAUUAUAUCAACUUAAAAAUUUAUAAAAUUUGAGAUAAGGAUGAUGAAGAUUAAACAUGGUUUAGAUAGUCUUAAAAUGUGACAUUUCAAAGUAUUUUGAAUGAAUUUGUUGUUUUAUUCAGAUUUGUAUUUGUUAAGGAUUGAAUAUGUAUAAGAUUUUUAUUUUUUGAAUUUGGUGAGUUUGUAUAAGAUAUAGGGAUAAUUGCAAAAACCUCCCCUGAGGUUUUUGACAUUUGCACUGAGUUCCACUGUGGUUUGAAAAAUUACACGGACCUCCCCUAAGGUUACUAAUCCCUUGCAAAUUCAGUUCAAACAAUUAAAAUAUUGUAUCAAAUGUAAGUAGGCAAAAAAAUGAAAUGAUACGAUAGGUAAAAAACAACCUAUGAACCCUCCAGCCCAUGCAAGCAACGAAACCCUAACUGCCUAGGAGGCCCUUGUAGAAGAUGGCCGCUCUUUUGCUGAUGUGCUACGGAACAAGACUCCGGAGAUCCAAGGCGGCGGCAGCCACUCUCUCGCUGUUGCGCCACAAGGCCAUGCACUGGAUGCUCUAGAAGGCGGUAGCCGCUCCUUCGCUGAUGUGCCACGAGACCAGGCGGCUUUGAUCAAAGCUGUCUCCCAGUUCCAAGGGGAACCAGCGGUGCUGUUCUCAGAGGUCGACAUAGCACGGCUAGCCUCUCCGUUCGAACGCUUUCUCGUUGGGAAGUUCUCUUAUGGGCGGCCAAACCUAGACACAAUUCGCAAGGCUUUCCUUCACAUAGGCUUUAGAUCAGAUCUCAGAAUCGGUGUCCUCGACCUAUGACAUGUGCUCCUCCGUUUCUCUACAGAGGAUGACUACAUGCGUUGCUGGCUCAGAGGAUGUUGGAUGAUCUCUGGCUUCCCACUUCGCGUCUUCAAGUGGUCUCCAGAUUUCAAGCUCGACUACGAACCUUCGCAUGCUCCAGUCUGGUUUUCGUUCGAUCGGCUCCCAGUUCACUUUUUCGAUAAAUCCGCUUUGUUCUCCAUGCAAGUGUAGUGGGCACUCCUCUCAAGCUUGAUGCAGCCACGGCAACUCUCACUCGGCCAAGCGUCGCUCGUGUAUGCGUCAACUUGGACCUCCAGGGAGCUCACCCAGACCGCUUAUGGAUAGGGGUUGGCGACGGAGGUUUUUGGCAGACGGUGCAGUACGACAAUCUCCCAUCCUACUGCACUGGAUGCUGUAAACAAGGCCACGCCACCCCAGAUUGUCAGCACCGCUUGAAACGCAAGGAACAUAUCGGUGCAGCGCACUUGUCUCAGGGACCCUCAGCCGCAGAUGUUGAGCAGGCAGCGCCUGUCAAGGUGGGUCAGGACCCUGCCGCCUCCUCCCUCCCUCUAGAGCCACGCAACGAGGGCGAUGGCACAGCCAAGGGACCUGCCCAACCCGUCUCUAUCUCCCAACUAGGCGUUUCCGAUGCCCAGCAUCCAGGGAUGGGAUCUGAAGCAUCGAAGACUUCACCGUAAGAGGGCUUGAUGACGGGUUCAGACGUCUCCUCCCUUGCGUUGAAGGGGCAUCCCGACGGACACGCCGUGGCUGAGGGACAAGCUCAGGCAAGUGUUGCUGUGGAUCCAGUGUUGCCGCCCGAUUCAUUUCCCGAGCAACCUGGUGGAAAUAGCACUUGGACCAUUUCAGCUCUCGCUCGCACCUUCUCGGCUUCCAUUCCUACUGCCAUGCACGCGCGGGGCACCUGGACAACAUGAUACUCUCUCGGCACGCUAGGGAGACGAAGGACAGCCGGGCUUCCUCAGACGCAGAGGGAGAGGCAGCACGGGCUUCUAGCAUCGACCGUAGCCAGCUGACCGCAUCUCUCAAGGAGUUCAGCGCUUCCAUAAACCAGCGCCUUCCUCCGCUCUCCACGAUAAAGAUGGUUUUGUCAUUGUGGCCUCGAGAAAAUCCUGGAAAAAAGAUUCACCUACAACUCUCUCGGUAUAUCCUCACCAGGCAACCUUCUAAAGCUGCUAUUCCUUCUUCCUCUUCACUUUCCAAUGAAUAACUUCCUCAUUUGGAAUAUAAGGGGGUGGUAGGCAAAUCGUCUGUCCAUCGCCUGAAGCAUUUAGUUUGUUCUCAUAAUAUUUCCGUCCUCAUACUUCUCGAGCCGUUGGCGGACGUAGCCCAAAUAGAGGGUCUUCAUUCAAAACUCUCAUUUGAUUUCUGUUUGUUCAAUGUCUCUAACAAAAUUUGGCUUUUGUGGAGAUCUGGUUUUCACUUUGCCGUCCUACACAACUCUGAGCAAUUCCUUCAUGUCAUGAUGGCACACAACUCUUGGUCUAAUGUGGGGGUUGCCACCUUUAUCUACGCCAAAUGUACACGGGCAGAGCGUAGAUCACUGUGGUCAGACCUGGUAUCAAUGGCGGACACGGCAGGGCGACCAUAGCUGGUAGGUGAGGACUUUAACGUCAUCUCAUCGAUCACUGAAGACGUAGGGCGCUCAGUCCAGAAUCUGGGUGCGAUUACUGACUUCAAUGAAGCAAUUCAGAGUUGCUCCCUUACGGAGGUGCCCUUCUCAGGAAGCUCUUUCACGUGGACCGGGGUUAGAGCCGGUGCACGCAUGUGGAAACGGCUGGACCGUGUUCUAGUCAACCAAGCUUGGCUUGACUUUGCUGCCAACAUAACUACCCAACAUCUCAGUCGCACUGCCUCGGAUCAUUCCCCCUGCUGCUCACCAUUCGAAAGGACGGUGCUCGCGUCACCAAGGCUUUUAAAUUCCAAAAUUUCUUGCUUUCGAACGACGGCUUCCUACAGGUGGUCCGCGAUAAUUGGAGCUCCCUGUUCAAGGGUAUGGCAUGUACGCCAAGCUCAAGAGACUUAAAGGAUGCUUGAAGUAUUGGAAUAGAUAGUAGUAUGGGAAUAUCUUCCACAUGGUGCAACAGCAAGAACUGGUAGUACAACAACGAGAGGCCGAUUAUGAAGCUCAACAAACUGAUGAAACUAGAAGUGCGCUUCAUCACGUCCAAGCUCAACUCCUCUCUACCUUAAGGGAUGAAGAGGAGUUCUGGAGGCAAAAGGCGAGAAUCAAAUGGGCUAAGGAAGGAGACCGGAAUACCCGUUUUUUCCACGCCUCUGUUUGAGACAAACGGGUCAAGCUCGCCAUCCACAGAAUCAAGGACGAAACUGGGUCGUGGGUAGAUGAGGAAAACUAAAUUGCUGCAGCGGCUGAAAAGUUCUUCAGGGACUUGCUCACUGCCGAUGAACCAGUUGAGGCCGAAGAAUUGAUACAGGACAUCCCCGUCCUUGUGACUAGUGACCAAAAUAACCAAUUACUGGGAGAUGUGUCUCUUGAAGAAGUGAGACAGGUGGUAUUUGCUAUGGAUGGCAAUAGCGCUCCAGGGCUGGAUGGUUUCACUGGUACUUUUUCUCUCACUGUUGGGACAUUAUUGCUAACGAUCUCCUACAGGCAACUAGAGAUUUCUGGCGGGAACCCCAAUCCCGAAGGGCAUCAGCAGCACCCUCAUAGUUCUGAUCCCGAAGAAGCCGAACCCCUCAUCUUUUCGGAUUUUCAGCCCAUUAGCUUGUGCACCUUCGUUAACAAGGUCUUCACCAAGGUCCUCGCUAACAGAUUGAAAAUUCUUCUUCCGAGACUUAUCUCGCCAGAGCAAUCUGCUUUCGUCCCAGGUCGGGACAUAGCAGAAAACAUUCUCCUAACACAAGAGCUAGUUGGAUCCCUUAACAAAAGGGCGUGUGGCCACAACUGCAUUCUCAAACUCGAUAUGAUGAAGGCAUUUGACAGGGUCUCUUGGGCUUUCCUCGAGCAGUUCUUAGGGAAGUUCGGCUUUCACCCCUGCUUUAUUCGUCUCAUCACCAAUAACCUCUCCCAGAGUUGGUUCUCGGUUUUGGUGAACGGCAGCCCCAAAGGAUUCUUUCAGGUAUCCCGGGGGCUCAAACAAGGGGAUCCCCUCUCUCCACUACUGUUCAUUCUUGUCUCUGAGGCCUUGAGCCAGGGGUUGACAAGGCUAGUUCAAGAGGGCAGCAUCACCCCUUUCGCUUUGCCACGGGGUUGCUUUCCUAUCACACAUCUCUCUCUUUUGCAGACGACGUUAUUGUCUUCACAAGGGGUGAUCGUCGCUCCUUGACACGCCUGAUGGAUUUCUUGGACACCUUUUAGCACGGAUCGGGUCAGAAAAUCAACAAGCAAAAAAGUUUCUUCAUUACCCCCACGCGUUGCGGAGUAGCCCCUAUUCACCGGAUCCAGCCCAUCACUAACUUCAGGCACGGAUCGCUUCCAUUUCUGUACCUUGGCUGCAAUCUUUACAAUGGCCGCCGAAAGAUGGAAUAUUUCCAAUACCUUAUAGAGAAGCUGGCGUCUAAGGUUGCGAGAUGGAAGAAGAAACUCCUCUCCCCAGGAGGGCAUCUAAUCCUCAUCCAGCAUGUCCUCUCCUCCAUGCCUCAGUAUGUGUUGGCAGUCAUGGACCCCCCUGCAACUGUGCUUAGGAAUUUCGACAAGAUUAUGGCUGACUUUUUUUGGGGCGAGUCGGAUGGGGGCCCUCGGCGCCAUUGGCGGGCCUGGCAGGAUUUGUGUUACCCCACGGCUGCGGAUGGUCUGGGUUUGCGGAGUUUCCACAAUGUGCAAACGACAUUUAGUUGCACGCUAUGGUGGAGAUAUCGGAGUGCAGAAACGCUGUGGGCUAGCUUCAUGCACGCUAAGUACGACUCGGGCCAGAUGUGCAGCGCCUCUUCCAGGGUGUGGAGAAGGAUGCUCACGGUGCGGUCCACUGUUGACGGUCUCUCCGAGGAUCUGGACCCCCAGGAAGGGAAAUGAGUCUGGUCUCUCACGGCCUCCGGGAGCUUUACCACCUCCUCAACCUAUGAAGCAACCAGGAGGGCGCGGGCGAGCCUGCUAUCUAGAGAGUUAAUUUGGGACUGGCGCCUCUCCUGCAGGGUGCCCAUCUUUAUGUGGAAGAUGCUGAACGAAUACCUUCCCUUCCCCGAAAACCUACACAAGAUAGGUUUCCAGCUCCCUUCUAAGUGCCUUUUCUGCCCCAGUGAGGAAUCACGUGACCACGUGAUAUCGGAUUGCUGGUUUGCAUCGGCAAUAUGGGGGUUCUUCGCCCAUGCCCUCGGCCUCUCGAGGUUUUCCUCGAAGGGCAUCCUAAUGAGACUGCAAUACUGGUGGUCCUCUGCUUCAUUCAACUCAGCCAAGGGAUCGGUGCUCAUACUUUUGCCAUCUCUUAUUUGCUGGGAAGUUUGGAAGGUCCGGUGUCGCAUGUUCCAUAAUGGUGGCAAUGCCUGUCCAUCGCAAGUUUGUCGCCAAAUUCAGCUGAAUGCCUUAUCCAUCUCACAUGUAUUCCCUUUCGAGCAGGCCACCCUGGAGGACUUGAGACUCAUGUCUCUGGGGUUGGUUUCUCGCCUCUCCCGGUCUAAGCCAAAAGUUCCUGUCUCAAUACUGUGGAAAUGGCCGUCUCCAGGCACAGUCAAACUCAACGUGGAUGGCUCGUUCUUAGGGAACCCGGGCCCCUCUGGUGGCGGUGGAGUGGUUCGGAGCCCAUCCGACGACGUUUUGUUUGGCUUUGCAAUGUCAUUUGGAAUUAAAACAAACAUGGAGGCUGAAGCCCUAGCCCUUCUGGAGGGGAUAAAACUUUGCAAAGAGCGAGGCCACACCGCAGUCAACAUUGAAAUAGAUUCGAAAACCCUAGCGCUCAUGUUGCAGGGCAAGUCCCAAGUCCUCUGGAGAUUAUGGCGAUCCCUCUCUCAUAUCAGACAACUGGCCCAGGGCAAGCAGUUCACCUUUAGCCACAUCUUCCGGGAGGCCAACGCGGUGGCUGAUGCCCUUGUAACCCUCGCAAGCUCAUCUCAGUGCUCCUCGAUCCUCUCACCGACGCAAUUCUCCAAGAACAUCAUAGGUCUAGUCGCGUUAGAUAGACCCCAACUCCCUUAUAUUAGGAUGGUUCGUCCCCAACAAUGUAUUCAGGGGUAACCCCCCUUCCUCCCCCCAUUGUACUCCCCUGUUCUCACAGCAUAAUAAAAUCUCCAUUCUGAAAAAAAAUAAUUCAAAUAUUAUUUUAGGGAAUGAAAUUAGAAUUUUUUACCAAAUUUGUCCUUUGUAUUACAUGUCCAAUGAAUGACAAAAUACUACAAAUCAAUUAACAAUUAAUAAACUUUAAGGAGUAUAGUUUAUAGGCAAAUACGUAUUACCUAUUUAAAGUACCGACUCUUUAUGGGUAUUAUACUUUCAAACAUUUAAUUUAAUACAAAUAUUUACGCUCGAAUACAUAUUUGUAUUUACUUUCAAAUAUUUAAUUUUUGUUAAAUACAAAAACUAUCAAUCUCUCUUCCGUAAAAAUAUUAAUAUAACACUUUUUCAAUUUUAGUUACAACCAUUUAUGUAUUUAACAUAAAUUAAAUGAUUCAAAAUAAAAUACUCAUAAAGAGACAAUACUUUACUCAUAUAAUGGAUGAAAGCCAUAAAGAAUUAAUACUUUAUGGGCCAUUUCUUUUUUUUUUAAAAUUUUAAUUUAUAUUAAAUAAAUAACCUACCGUUUUCCUUUUUGCAAGAAUAUUACUGUAACACUUUUUGAAUUUUACUUACAAACAUUGAUAUAUUUAUCAUAAAUUAAAUGUUUGAAAAUAAAAUAUCCGUAAAAAUCCGGUACUUUAAAUGAGCAAUGCGUGUUUGCCUAUAAAGAGCCGGUACAAAAUUCUAAUUUUAGGGAGUAAAAUUAGAAUUUUGCACCAGAUUUGCCCUCUGUGUUAUAUCUCCAAUGAAUGACAAAGUACUGUAAAUCAAUUAAUAAUUAAUAAACUUUAAGAAGUAUAAUUUAUGGACAAACAUGCAUUAUUCAUUUAAAGUACCGGCUCUUUACGAGUAUUUUACUUUCAAAUAUUUAAUUUAUAAUAAAUAUUUAAUUUAUGAUAAAUAUAUCAAUAUUUGUAAGUAAAAUUCAAAAAUUGUUAUAGUAAUAUUCUUGUAAAAAGAAAUCGAUAAGUUAUUUAUUUAAUAAAAACUAAAUAUUUUUUUAAAAAAAUAAAUGGCCCAUAAAGUAUUAAUUUUUAUGGCUUUCAUCCACUACAUGAGUAAAGUAUUCGCUCUUUAUGUGCAUUUUAUUCUGAAUCAUUUAAUUUAUGUUAAAUACAUAAAUGUUUGUAACUAAAAUUGAAAAAGUGUUAUAUUAAUAUUUUUACGGAAGAGAGAUUGGUAAGUUUUGUAUUUAACAAAAAUUAAAUAUUUGAAAAUAAAUACAAAUUUGUAUUUGAGCGUAAAUAUUUGUAUUAAAUUAAAUAUUUGAAAGUAAAAUACCCUUAAAGAACUGGUACUUUAAAUAGUUACCGGCUCUUUAUAGGCAAACACGCAUUACUCAUUUAAAGUACUAGUUUUUACGAAUAUUUUACUUUCAUACAUUUAAUUUAUGAUAAAUAUAUCAAUGUUUGUAACUAAAUUUAAAAAGUGUUACAAUAUUAUUUUUGUAAAAAGGAAAUCAGUAGGUUAUUUAUUUAAUAUAAAUUAAAUAUUUUUUGAAAAAAGAAAUGGACCAUAAAGUAUUAAUUCUUUAUGGUUUUCAUCCAUUACAUGAGUAAAGUAUUGGUUCUUUAUGGGUAUUUUAUUCUGAAUCAUUUAAUUUAUGUUAAAUACAUAAAUGUUUGUAAUUAAAAUUGAAAAAGUGUUAUAUUAAUAUUUUUACGGAAGAGAGAUUGGUAGUUUUUGUAUUUAACAAAAAUUAAAUAUUUGAAAGUAAAUACAAAUAUGUAUUUGAGUGUAAAUAUUUGUAUUAAAUAAAUGUUUGAAUUAAAAUACCCAUAAAGAGCCGGUACUUUAAAUAGAUAAUGCGUAUUUGCCUAUAAACUAUACUCCUUAAAGUUUAUUAAUUGUUAAUUGAUUUGUAGUAUUUUGUCAUUCAUUGGACAUGUAGUACAAAAGACAAAUUUGGUAAAAAAUUCUAAUUUUACUCCCUAAAACAAUAUUUUAAUCCUUUGGACUAAAUUUGCAAAGGAUUAGUAACCUCAGGGGAGGUCAGUGUAAUUUUUCAAACCACAGGGGAGGUCAGUGCAAAUGUCAGAAACCUCAGGGGGUUUCUGCAAUUAUCCCAUAUUUUAAUCAUUUGGACUAAAUUUGCAAAGGAUUAGUAAUCUCAGGGGAGGUCAGUGUAAUUUUUCAAACUACAGGCGAGGUCAGUGCAAAUGUCAAAAAUCUCAGGGGAGGUUUCUGCAAUUAUCCCUAAGAUAUAUAUUCUAGUCUGAAAAUAUAGACAAAAACCAUUAGUGAAGCCAUCAAAGGUCGAAAAUCACGGAUAGUUCUCAACUUCGUCAAAGCAUACAAACUCAAACUGAUAUGGCGGUGUCGGACACGUGGGGGACUUAUGAGAAAACCUGUUGGCAGUAGAGGACGAGACAAUAAUGAUUGUGACGAUUGGAAGUAGGAGGGCUUGGAAUUAGGGUGGAAAAACGUCACGGAUGAUGCCGUGGUGAAGCAUGGAGAAGGGUUGACGGCGUAGGUAGAAGGGAAGCGGAAAAAUUUGUAUGUCGACGGCAUUGAAUGUUAAAGGUUAAUUUUGUCAUUUUCUAUUAUAAAAUUUUUAUGAUUGCAAAAGUUGCUUCAUCAUUUUUUAAAUUAGUUUCUUGCUUUUACGUCAAAAUGCUUGUUUAUUCCCUCGCAUUUUUACAAAAAAAAAAAAAAAAUGUGCUCCUCACCUUUAAAAUGAAGCAAUUAGUCCCUCAAAUUCUAAAAAUGAAACAAAUUAGUCUCAAAAUAAUAACCUGAUAUAAAUUUUAGAGAUAAAACUAAAACGUUACUGUAGUUUCUUCCAGAUCUAGCUACACUUGAUAUGCACGUGAAAUUAAAUCAAAAUUUUCUUAUAUUGGUUUCAUAUCAUGUGCAUAUCAAAUGUAGUUAGAUUUGGAAGAAACUAAAGUAAUGCUUCAAUUUUACCUUAAAAUCUAUAUUAGGUUGUCAUUCUAGGGCUAAUUUGCUUCAUUUUUCAAAAUAUUAUGGAUAGCUUUGCUUCGUUUUAAAAGUGAAUGACAAAAAAUUCAAAUUGUAAUAGCCCCACCUUUCCCUAAGGCGAAUCAAAAGAUUCGGCGGACCGCCUGCCCAACUCUCGCCAGGACUACGGAAACAAAUCGCAUAAAACCCUACGUAAAGCGCGAUAUAACCAAAAAAAACAAACAAUCGGAGACAGCCAGGCCAAAAUAUAACUUACUAAACCAUAUGGUGAAAUGAGACAUCGAUUAAACACUUCAAUGAAAAGGAAGAUGGAAACGAAAACGAAACGAAAAAUGGUCCAUGUCACAAUCCGGCCAGAUUAACAACCGGAUUCAAGGUAGUAGCUAAUCCGAACUUUUUCAACUUGCCCUGCCAAUCCGGCCAAGUAUCUGGCCAAGAACUGGCCGGAUAUGCGGCCGGAUUCUCAGCAAGAGUUUCCCGCCAUAAUUUUUUUCUUUUCUCGUUCAAAGUCCGUACACGUCCGAUCUUUCCAACGGUUACAAUUAAAGUUCAUACAACCAUACAUACAUGCAUUUCCCAAUGAAUAUACAUAACUAUACUCUUUCCAACAUAUAUACAAUAGUGUCUUCAACAAGUUACUUGAAGUACAAGUCAAAAUAUCCGUAUUUAUACAAAACACACAUAGGGUUUUCUAGGAGCUUAACAAAAGAUCGAUUACUCUAGCCCGACCUCCUUUUCUUCCAAAUCAUGGUUUCAAAGUUUGUCCCUGUAAGAAAAACAAAA
rnacentral:lncRNA from 1 species